rnacentral:tRNA from 1 species
UCCUAGGGGGUUCGAUUCCUUCCUUUC